rnacentral:rRNA from 1 species
GAUGAACGCUGGCGGCGUGCCUAAUACAUGCAAGUCGAGCGGACCUCUUCGGAGGUCAGCGGCGGACGGGUGAGUAACACGUGGGCAACCUGCCUGUAAGACUGGGAUAACUCCGGGAAACCGGAGCUAAUACCGGAUACUAUGUCAAACCGCAUGGUUUGACAUUCAAAGACGGUUUCGGCUGUCACUUACAGAUGGGCCCGCGGCGCAUUAGCUAGUUGGUGAGGUAACGGCUCACCAAGGCGACGAUGCGUAGCCGACCUGAGAGGGUGAUCGGCCACACUGGGACUGAGACACGGCCCAGACUCCUACGGGAGGCAGCAGUAGGGAAUCUUCCGCAAUGGACGAAAGUCUGACGGAGCAACGCCGCGUGAGUGAUGAAGGUUUUCGGAUCGUAAAACUCUGUUGUCAGGGAAGAACAAGUGCCGGAGUAACUGCCGGCGCCUUGACGGUACCUGACCAGAAAGCCACGGCUAACUACGUGCCAGCCGCCGCCGUAACAC